rnacentral:hammerhead_ribozyme from 1 species
AUCUAGAUGAUGAGUCCCAAACAGGACGAAAUGCGUAUAUCCUGGAU